GGAGUCUAGCAUGUGCGCGAGUCAUUGGGACACGACUAAACCUAAAGGCGCAAUGAAAGUGAAGGCCCGCCUUGCGCGGGCCGAGGGAAGACGGGCGUGACGCGCCAGCGUCCGCCCCGCAUUCCCGGGGCGUCUCGUUCUCAUCGCGAGAAGAGGCGCACCAAGAGCGUACACGCUGGGACCCGAAAGAUGGUGAACUAUGCCUGGUCAGGACGAAGUCAGGGGAAACCCUGAUGGAGGUCCGUAGCGAUUCUGACGUGCAAAUCGAUCGUCGGAACUGGGUAUAGGGGCGAAAGACUAAUCGAACCAUCUAGUAGCUGGUUCCCUCCGAAGUUUCCCUCAGGAUAGCUGGCGCUCGUCGCCAACGAGUCUCAUCCGGUAAAGCGAAUGAUUAGAGGCAUUGGGGCCGAAACGGCCUCAACCUAUUCUCAAACUUUAAAUGGGUGAGAUCUCCGGCUUGCUCGAACCGAUGAAGCCGCGAGACACGGAUCAGAGUGCCAAGUGGGCCAUUUUUGGUAAGCAGAACUGGCGCUGUGGGAUGAACCAAACGCCGAGUUAAAGCGCCUAAAUCGACGCUUAUGGGAUACCAUGAAAGGCGUUGGUAACUUAAGACAGCAGGACGGUGGCCAUGGAAGUC
rnacentral:rRNA from 1 species